UCAUGGGUUCCACUGGCAACUGAAGAAAUAUCUGGACUAAGGCUUUGGCAGGCACCAAUGUGCUUCCAUUUUCUGGGUAGCACUUUUGUAUAUUUGUAGAGACUUGUGGAAGGAGAGCUUCGAAUCCUAAAGCAUGCCUCUACUGAUGGACGCUGUGGCCCAGGCACACAGGAGGCUUUCCCACAAAUCCACAGGCUGGAGCUCUACGAUGAACAGGAGCUCUCCGUGUUUGCAAGACGGACUCCUAAGGCUGGUCAGGAUCUCCCUGAGAAGGUCACAUUGAACCUGAGCCCUGGUAAAUAACCUGG
rnacentral:lncRNA from 1 species